rnacentral:lncRNA from 1 species
GGAGGCAACCCGGCGGCCUGCCUGGCGCGGUGGCGCGCAGUGGGUGUGGGCCCGCGGCGCGGAGCCGGCCGGGGAUCAGAAGCCCACAGGCCCGCAUUGUUCGCCUGUCACACUUCCUUUGGCUUUAUUGCCUUUGUCCAACACCCUAUUGUCUGAUUUCCUUUUGUCCCCCUUUCAGUGCUGCUGUCUUUUAUUUUCCAGCCAGCCUGGUUGUUUUCAUUUCUUUUGUCUGAAGUUCCUGAGAGGAAGGUUUUAUUUUCAGCGGUUUGAUUAAUUCACAGCUUGAGCCCCGGGUUUGUUUGUUAUGUAAUUGCUGCCCUCAGCUUCAGGAUAAUACCCCUCCCCGACUUCCCCUCCCCCACGCCCGGCCCCCCUGCUCGGGGCCUGGCUCUGCGCCCCUCCCUGUGCCCGGAUGGGCCGAGUCGCCUGCUUCCUGGACGCUCUCCAGGUCCCUAGGUGGUGGGAGGGGACCCAAGAGCAGCACCCUGAAGAAGCGUCUCUUUUCUCCUGAGCUGACAUAUGCCCUUCUCUCCUCACCCUGCAUUGCCUGGUCCUGGGUCCCAGGCGAGCCCCCAGACACCCUGCCUUUGAAAGUGGCAGGAGGGUAAGAUCUGGUGUGAUCUGUAGGAUGGCAUCAAAUCAAACAUGGUAUUGAACUAGAAUGCUCUUUCACAUAAAAUACUGCACCUGUAUACAGCUGUAUGCAUCUUUCUUAUGUAUGGAACAUUGCAUCAUUCAUUAUACAUGAGAAGAAACAUUUUAUUAUACAGUUGAUGUAAGACACAAAUAUUAUGUUUCACCUGCAGUUUAAUGUAAAGGAUGUUUUAUUUUUUGCCUUACACUCCCCUCCUAAAAAUUUUAUGUAAGAAAAAUUUUAAAAAGUGUUUAUCGGAGUUCCCGUCGUGGCUCAGUGGUUAAUGAAUCCCACUAGGAACCAUGAGGCCAGGGAUCGAACCUGCAUCCUCAUGGAUACUAGUCGGAUUCUUUUCUGCUGUGCCACAGAGGGAACUCCCAAGCCGGCAGUGUUUUAACAAAGACCACUUCCCUGCUUGCUAGGGCCUUGCAUUGUUCUAAACACCCAUGUAAAUAUCAAAUCGGUGCCCACCCAUUUUACAGAUGAGGAAACAGGAGUGGAGGGGCUAAGUAACUUCCCCAAGGUCACUCAGAAGCCAAUGGAGUAGCUGAGGCAAGACCUGUGCCUACUUGGAACCUGCUGUGUGUCCCCGCUGGUCUUGCGUCAGUGACUUUGGAGGGUGAACAGGCGAGCUCUGGGCAUCUGCUACUCUGGCCUUGAGCCUGGCAUCACCACUGAAAACUACUUCCAGUGUCCUGCUCAGCAAUUUAGCUGCCCCAGGCAGCCGGAUGGCCUUGAGAGGCAGCAGGGACGCAGUUUCACUGCUUACAUUGCACCAGGCAUUGCAGAUGCCUGAAGGGGCCAGAGACUCUGAACUAAUUACGAGAAUUUUUUUUUUUUCCCCAGAUCUGAGCUGCAGUUGUAACCCAAGCCACAGCUGUGGCAAUGCUGGAUCCUUAAGCCACUGCACCAGACCAGAGAUCGAAUCUAUGUCCCAGUGUUCCCAAGACGCCGUCGAUCCCACUGUGCCACACUUUUUUUUUUGCUUUUUAGGGCCGCGCUUGUGGCAUAAGGAGGGUCCCAGGCUGGGGGUCGAAUCAGAGCUAAGCUGCUGGCCACAGCAACACCAGAUCCGAACCGCAUCUGCAACCUACACCACAGCUCAUGGCAACACCGAAUCCUAAGCCCACUGAACGAGGUUGGGGAUCGAACCCCAAACCUCAUGGUUCCUAGUCGAAUUCGUUUCCACUGUGCCACUACGGGAACUCUGGAAAUAUUUUUCUUAAAAAUCACUUAUCUCUCAGCUUCCUUUUUUCCUUACUUUUGAUAGAUAGGUACAUGGAUAUUAGAAAUUGUUCAUUUUGACGGUGCCAGUUCCAUCCCCUGCCUGGCGUAGUGGAUUAAGGAUCCAGUGUUGCUGCAGCUAUGGUGUAGGUUGUAGCUUCAGCUCAGAUUCCGUCCCUGGCCUGGGAACUUCUAUAUGCCUCAGAUGCAGCCAAAAAAGAAAAAAAAGAAAAAAAAA